GACGAACGCUGGCGGCGCGCUUAACACAUGCAAGUCGAACGGAAAGGCCUGCUUUCCCUUGUGGAUUGCGGGUACUCGAGUGGCGAACGGGUGAGUAACACGUGAGUGAUCUGCCCCCAACUUGGGUAUAAGCCUGGGAAACUGGGUCUAAUUCCCGAUAGGACUGCAGGGUGGUGCCUGUGGUGGAAAACGAUUUUCUAGUGGUUGGGGAUGAGCUCGCGGCCUAUCAGCUUGGUGGUGGGGUAAUGGCCUACCAAGGCGGCGACGGGUAGCCGGCCGGGGAGGGUGGACGGUGGCAUUGAGACAGGGAUACGGCCCAGACUCCUACGGGAAGCAGCAGUGGGGAAUAUUGCGCAGUGGGCGGAAGCCUGAUGCAGCGACGCCGCGUAGAAGAUGACGGCCUUCGGGAUGUAAUCUCCUUGCGAGCGCGAGGAAGCCACCUGGUUGGAGGGGUGGUGACGGUAGUGGUAGAAGAAGCACCGGCUAACUACGUG
rnacentral:rRNA from 1 species